AAAACAGAGUAUGAGUUUGAAGAAACAUGACAAGACAGCUGAUGACAGUAAAGACAAUGAGUGGUUAUAAGUGAGGUUGAGAGUUUUAAGUACCUAUGAUCGUUUGUACAAAAGAAAUGUGGUCUUUGGUUUCCAUGAGCAUGUGAAAUAUGGGAUAAAAUGUGUUUGGACAAAGUGGUGAGCAAUGUCAGGCAUUUUGUGUUACAAGAG